GAUGAUGGAACCAGCAUGGGAAAAGUUUACGAGCUUGGUGGACCUGAAAUCUUUACUGUUGAUGAAUUGGCAGAUCUUAUGUUCGACACAAUUCGUGAAUGGCCUCGCUAUGUCAAAGUUCCCCUUCCCAUUGCGAAGCUGCUAGCAACACCACGAGAAGUAUUACUUAACAAGGUUCCAUUUCCAUUGCCCACACCUAACAUAUUCAAUUUGGAUGAGAUCA
rnacentral:misc_RNA from 1 species